CAACUUUCAACAACGGAUCUCUUGGCUCUCGCAUCGAUGAAAAACGCAGCGAAAUGCGAUAAGUAAUGUGAAUUGCAAAAUUCAGUGAAUCAUCGAAUCUUUGAACGCAUCUUGCGCUCCUUGGUAUUCCGAGGAGCAUGCCUGUUUGAGUGUCAUUA
rnacentral:rRNA from 1 species